rnacentral:rRNA from 1 species
AACGAACGCUGGCGGCAUGCCUAACACAUGCAAGUCGAACGAGACCUUCGGGUCUAGUGGCGCACGGGUGCGUAGCGCGUGGGAACCUGCCCUUAGGUUCGGAAUAACUCCCCGAAAGGGGUGCUAAUACCGGAUAAUGUCUUCGGACCAAAGAUUUAUCGCCUUUGGAUGGGCCCGCGUUGGAUUAGCUAGUUGGUAGGGUAAAAGCCUACCAAGGCGACGAUCCAUAGCUGGUCUGAGAGGAUGAUCAGCCACACUGGGACUGAGACACGGCCCAGACUCCUACGGGAGGCAGCAGUGGGGAAUAUUGGACAAUGGGCGAAAGCCUGAUCCAGCAAUGCCGCGUGAGUGAUGAAGGCCUUAGGGUUGUAAAGCUCUUUUACCCGGGAUGAUAAUGACAGUAUCGGGAGAAUAAGCUCCGGCUAACUCCGUG